UUAUCUUUUAGUUUCGAAGCUCAUUCAACAUUUCACUAGCCGGCCCUAAUCCGCCUCUGCAUGUCUCCCUCUCCUCGGGCUCAGAUCUCGCAACCCCACCAGCCUCCGAUCUCGUGCCGCUGGCAACACCAACGCUCGUGAUACACGCGCACAGAUCACUCGCUCACGCUGCUGUACCUAUUGCCUGUGGUCGCCCCCUCCGAUCUCAACCCUCGCACCUCCAGUAGCCUCCGACAUCGCACUUCAGGCGACAGUCACAAUCGUGCUUUGCGUUCACUGGUGGUAGCUCUUAGUCGGUCAAACUGCUCAACGUCGAGAACUUCUCCAGAGCAGCAAUCGCAAAGCCAAGAUUGCCAUAACACUAGCAGCAACCUAGCACUAGAAUCCCUAAUACGGCAUUUAGAAUACUAUGACGCGUAAACAUAAUAUCUCCGGACAGUCAAUCCUCGAAGAGUUACGAAGACAAAGUGAAGACAUAAACUUGAGUUCGGAAGAUGGGUUGGAACAAAUUAGGCUCAAUGAUGAUGGGGAUGAAAUUUCAGAGACGGAGAUGUUAAAUCAAAGUGGUGGUGAUCUACCGGAACGUGCUGCACCUAAGAAUAAAAGAGAUGAAAAUGAGCCACUGCUUGUGAAAGUUAAAGUUGUCCGUGAUCAAAGACAUAAAAAAACAUACC